AGCAGAGAUUCCAUUUCUCUUCUUAUCCUUCAUCUCCUUUCUCCUCCUUCUCUCCCUCUAGGCUAGUGGAAACCUGAAGUAGUGUUGGCAGCUGGGUGGAAUUUCAGCUGAGGACAAGAAGAAGUGAGCUGAGAGCAAUCUGGAUUUAUAUCAAGAUAAGGAUUUAUAGUUAAGAAAAUUGAUGGCAGCCUUGAUCUUUCGAGUUGCCGAGUUGACAUCUCGGGUAAAUAGACCAGAGAAUUAGCUGAAGAAACUUUGUAAAGCUGAAGGAGAUCCUCGGGAAGCCUCCAAAUCAGCUUGAAGGGUUGCGGACUGAAGAGAAGAAAACUGGAUCCGAGUGGAGGAUCCCUGUUGUGGAGCAACUAAGUAACUUGAUACUAUAUUUAAACUAAGAUUUCAGGAUUGGAGGUUUUGGGUUAGUUGAGGCUGAAUGGAAGUUGGAAGAGCCUUGAAUUGAGGCAAG